rnacentral:tRNA from 1 species
CGCUUGUCCAGCCAGUUCAGCAUACUUCUUCUGACUACGGAUCAGAAGGUUGGGGGUUCGAGUCCCUUCGAGCGCA